GAUGAACGCUGGCGGCGUGCCUAAUACAUGCAAGUCGAGCGAACAGAUGAGGAGCUUGCUCCCUGACGUUAGCGGCGGACGGGUGAGUAACACGUGGAUAACCUACCUAUAAGACUGGGAUAACUUCGGGAAACCGGAGCUAAUACCGGAUAAUAUAUUGAACCGCAUGGUUCAAUAGUGAAAGACGGUUUUGCUGUCACUUAUAGAUGGAUCCGCGCCGCAUUAGCUAGUUGGUAAGGUAACGGCUUACCAAGGCAACGAUGCGUAGCCGACCUGAGAGGGUGAUCGGCCACACUGGAACUGAGACACGGUCCAGACUCCUACGGGAGGCAGCAGUAGGGAAUCUUCCGCAAUGGGCGAAAGCCUGACGGAGCAACGCCGCGUGAGUGAUGAAGGUCUUCGGAUCGUAAAACUCUGUUAUUAGGGAAGAACAAAUGUGUAAGUAACUAUGCACGUCUUGACGGUACCUAAUCAGAAAGCCACGGCUAACUACGUG
rnacentral:rRNA from 1 species